rnacentral:rRNA from 1 species
UACGUAGGUGGCGAACGUUACGCGGAUUUACUGGGCGUAAAGCGUCUGUAGGCGGCUUCGCAAGUGGGGGGUGAAAGCUCCGGGCUUAACCCGGAGACGCCGUCCCAUACUGCGGAACUCGAGGGAGGCAGAGGAAGGCGGAAGUCCUGGUGUAGCGGUGAAAUGCGUAGAUAUCAGGAGGAACACCCGUGGCGAAGGCGGCUGUCUAGCGCUGUCCUGACGCUGAGGGGCGAAAGCUAGGGGAGCAAACAGG